rnacentral:hammerhead_ribozyme from 1 species
ACCCAUCUGACGAGUCCCAAAUAGAACGAAACGCGCAUCCUGGAU